rnacentral:rRNA from 1 species
GACAUAGGUGGCGAACGUUAUCCGGAAUUAUUGGGCGUAAAGGAUGCGUAGAUGGUAGAAUAAGUUGCUGGUCGAUGCCAAACUCAAUUUGACGGAAGCUGGCAAUACUGUUCUGCUAGAGGGCAGGAGAGGUUGAUGGAAUUCUGUGUGGAGCGGUGAAAUGCGCAGAUAUCAGGAGGAACACCGGGUGGCGAAGGCGGGUCUCUGGGCCGAUACUGACGCUGAGGAGCGAAAGCGUGGGGGAGCGAACAGG